rnacentral:rRNA from 1 species
GACGAACGCGGCGGCGUGCUUAACACAUGCAAGUCGAACGGUAAGGCUCCAGCUUGCUGGGGUACACGAGUGGCGAACGGGUGAGUAACACGUGGGUGACCUGCCCUGCACUUCGGGAUAAGCCUGGGAAACUGGGUCUAAUACCGGAUAGGACCGCACCGUGAGGGUGUGGUGGAAAGUUUUUUCGGUGUGGGAUGGGCCCGCGGCCUAUCAGCUUGUUGGUGGGGUAAUGGCCUACCAAGGCGGCGACGGGUAGCCGGCCUGAGAGGGUGGGCGGCCACAUUGGGACUGAGACACGGCCCAGACUCCUACGGGAGGCAGCAGUGGGGAAUAUUGCACAAUGGGCGGAAGCCUGAUGCAGCGACGCCGCGUGGGGGAUGACGGCCUUCGGGUUGUAAACUCCUUUCACCAUCGACGAAGGGUUUCUGACGGUAGAUGGAGAAGAAGCACCGGCUAACUACGUGCCAGCAGCCGCGGUAAUACGUAGGGUGCGAGCGUUGUCCGGAAUUACUGGGCGUAAAGAGCUCGUAGGUGGUUUGUCGCGUCGUCUGUGAAAUUCCGGGGCUUAACUCCGGGCGUGCAGGCGAUACGGGCAUAACUUGAGUACUGUAGGGGAGACUGGAAUUCCUGGUGUAGCGGUGAAAUGCGCAGAUAUCAGGAGGAACACCGGUGGCGAAGGCGGGUCUCUGGGCAGUAACUGACGCUGAGGAGCGAAAGCAUGGGGAGCGAACAGG